rfam:Picea glauca, whole genome shotgun sequence.
GAAAAAUGAUGAUGAUUUGAUUGUCUUCCCGGUCUUAGUAGCACUUACUUUGUGCUAGGUGCGGAUUGACAUUUUUAACAUGUUGAUUC